UACGGAGGAUCCAAGCGUUAUCCGGAUUUAUUGGGUUUAAAGGGUGCGUAGGCGGCCUAUUAAGUCAGGGGUGAAAGACGGUAGCUUAACUAUCGCAGUGCCUUUGAUACUGAUGGGCUUGAAUACACUAGAGGUAGGCGGAAUGUGACAAGUAGCGGUGAAAUGCAUAGAUAUGUCACAGAACACCAAUUGCGAAGGCAGCUUACUAUGGUUUUAUUGACGCUGAGGCACGAAAGCGUGGGGAUCAAACAGG
rnacentral:rRNA from 1 species